UGUCUCUUAUUGUCGCCAGCUCAAGGGAACUUUAAUCACAAACAACAUGCUCCGAACCCGAGAACAAAACACACAGAAGUUUACGGUGUUUAGAGUAGAAAGGGCUCCUAUGAAUGCGUUCUAGGCUGGAUUAUAUUUCUUUAAAAUACUAAUGUAACUGUCCGUCUAAAAUAAAUCGAGGACGGCUGCAGAAGAAGUCCGACAAUGAGCAUUAUGAGGCUAUGACCCCGACCGACCGACGCCUAAUAAGUUUCUGUGUAGCUCCCAUUUUCUAUCUAGAAAUGUCCUGCUGGGUUUCCAUUGCAAAAGACAGCUAAGGUCUACAAUGUCAGGAUCUACUGAACCAUCACAACUACUCAUGUCAGUGAAGAAUAUAAAAGAAGAAGAAUCUGAUAAUUUCCUUCAAGAGGAGUAUCUGUUUGAAAUUCAGACAGUCGAAGAAACGCCUGAACUGGAACAUGACUGUAAGACUGAGACGCACACAUCACCAACCUUGAACUGCAAAGAAGAAAAUUCUUCUCUGAUGGAAAUUAAAGAGUAACCCGAUUUAAGAGAAUAUGGUGAUGACGAUUCUUCUACAAAAAUGUCCUGCUGGGUUUCCAUUGCAAAAGACAGCUGAGGUCUACAAUGUCAGGAUCUACUGAACCAUCACAACUACUCAUGGCAGUGAAGAAUAUAAAAGAAGAAGAAUCUGAUCAUUUCCUACAAGAGUAUCUGUUUGAAAUUCAGACAGUGGAAGAAAAGCCUGAACUGGAUCAUGACUGUAAGACUGAGAUGCACACAUCACCAACCUUGAGCUGCAAAGAAGAAAAUUCUUCUCUGAUCGAUAUUAAAGAGGAACCAGAUUUAAGAGAAUGUGGUGAUGACGAUUCUUCUACAAAACUAAAGUCAAGAAUGUCUGGAUUUACUGAACCUUCACAACUGCCGACUUCAGUGAAGAAGGAGAUAAAAGAAGAAGAAUUUGAUGCUUUCCUACAAGAGAGUCUGUCUACAUUUAAGACAGUGGAAGAAAAGCCUGGACUGGAAAAUGAA
ensembl:lncRNA